rnacentral:tRNA from 1 species
UACCUCGUGGUGUAGUGGUCAAGGUGCUCGCCUGAUAAACAGGAGGGCGUGGGUUCAAUCCCAGCCGAGGUAC